rnacentral:rRNA from 1 species
GACGAACGCUGGCGGCGUGCCUAAUACAUGCAAGUUGAGCGCUGAAGGUUGGUACUUGUCCCAACUGGAUGAGCAGCGAACGGGUGAGUAACGCGUGGGGAAUCUGCCUUUGAGCGGGGGACAACAUUUGGAAACGAAUGCUAAUACCGCAUAAAAACUUUAAACACAAGUUUUAAGUUUGAAAGAUGCAAUUGCAUCACUCAAAGAUGAUCCCGCGUUGUAUUAGCUAGUUGGUGAGGUAAAGGCUCACCAAGGCGAUGAUACAUAGCCGACCUGAGAGGGGGAUCGGCCACAUUGGGACUGAGACACGGCCCAAACUCCUACGGGAGGCAGCAGUAGGGAAUCUUCGGCAAUGGACGAAAGUCUGACCGAGCAACGCCGCGGGAGUGAAGAAGGUUGUCGGAUCGUAAAACUCUGUUGGUAGAGAAGAACGUUGGUGAGAGUGGAAAGCUCAUCAAGUGACGGUAACUACCCAGAAAGGGACGGCUAACUACGUG